UGUGAGAGGGGGCUUGCUCCCGAUAGCAGUGGGUCAGCCAGCAGAUGUAUGGGCUGACAGCCCGCUAUCGGGAGCAAGCCCCCUCCCACA
rnacentral:misc_RNA from 1 species